rnacentral:rRNA from 1 species
AUCGAACGCUGGCGGCAGGCCUAACACAUGCAAGUCGAACGAGUGGCGGACGGGUGAGUAAUGUCUGGGAAACUGCCUGCUGGCGGGGGAUGACUACUGGAAACGGUAGCUAAUACCGCAUACCACCAGAUGUUCCCUGAUGGGAUUAGCUAGUUGGUGGGGUAACGGCUAACCAAGGCGACCCUCCCUAGCUGGUCUGAGAGGAUGACCGGCCAAACUGGAACUGAGACACGGUCCAGACUCCUACGGGAGGAAGCAGUGGGGAAUAUUGCACAAUGGGCGAAAGCCUGAUGCAGCCAGGCCGCGUGUAUGAAGAAGGCCUUCGGGUUGUAAAGUACUUUCAGCGGGGAGGCGUUACCCGCAGAAGAAGCACCGGCUAACUCCGUGCCAGCAGCCGCGGUAAUAC